GCCAUCUUUCCAUUGAUUGUUCUCCUUUUUGCUGGUGGCUGGUCCGAUCGUUACAACAAACGCAAGCCAUGUAUGAUUAUGCCCAUUGUUGGCGAAUUUUUCUCCUUUACAUGUUUGCUUAUUUCGGCGAUCUUUUUCGACUCUCUGCCAAUGGAAUUCGGUGCAUACUGUGAGGCGAUUGUUCCAGCCUUAUUCGGUGGACUUACAUUUUGUUUGAUGGCUGUCUAUAGUUAUAUAACGAUAGCAACACCGGAGGAGGAUCGUAUAUUCAGAUUUGGUAUUUUUGCAAUGUUUGUAACAGCCGUACCUUUCAUCGGCCAACCGAUAAGUGGUUUUCUAUUUCAACAGCUGGGCUAUAUUUUUUCCUUUGGAAUGGCUGCCUCAUUUCAAAUAAUCGCAAUACUCUACAUCAUUUUCUUUAUCAAAGAGGUCAAACCUGCACCUAAAGCUAAAGUCGAAGAUGUUCCGCCGCCAUUGCCUGCACAUGGACCGCCAUCACUUCGCGCCGGCAGUGAUAAUUUGGCUUAUGACCAAACGGGUACUGAUGAAGUGGAUAGAGUGAAAAACCUCAGCUUUGAAUUGAAUUCGCGCUUACAGCCAGCCGAUAAGUCGGCACAAUUGUCAAAUUCAGAAAGUGUAGCGCCAGUGCGACGUUCCUUCCUGCGUGAAUUUUUCGAUCCAACUUUAGUGAUAGAUUGCAUAAAAUUUCCGUUAAUAAAACGCCCCAAUCAUGGAAGAAUGCUGCUGAUUUUAUUAAUCAUUGCCUAUUUUCUAACGCUUGGACCCGUAUCAGGAGAGAACGAUUAUUGGUAUCGUUACACGCUGAUCAAAUUGAAUUGGAAUGGCAAUGAUUUCAGCUUUUUCUUCACAUUUUCCUCAGCAGCUGCAUUAAUAGGUACUUUCAUCGGCACCGCUAUACUUAGUAAAUUAUUGAAAUUUGCUGACUCCACUAUUGGCAUUUUAUCAGCUGUGGCCAUUGUUAUAUCCCGUAUUUUAUUUGCUUUCGCCAAGGAUACAAAGUCCUUCUAUGUUGCUGGUGUUGUUGAUAUGUUCGUGAGUUUACGCGUAAUUGCUAUUAAAACAAUCGGUUCCAGCAUUGUUGAUGGCGAGGAAUUAAGUAAAAUGUAUUCGAUAUUUGGCAUUAGUGAGCCAAUUGGACAGUUUAUAUUCCCACCAAUAUUUAGUGCCAUAUACCAGGAUACCGUGGAAAGCUUUCCGGGCGCUAUUUUCCUAUUUGGUGAAAUAUUUUACAUACCUAACGUGCUGGUAUUUGUGCUUUGCUACAUAAUUUUGCGCCGGAAUAAAAAUGAGAAAAAGCAGACACCUCCAGAAGUUACGAAUGGGAAUGCUGCCCACGACAACCCCGAUUUUGAAAUAACUAGUCUAUAAUCGAAAUAAGCAACAUUACUGAGCAAGGGUUAGCAUAAACACGAUGCUCAAAUUAUUCCUUUCAUUGGUUGUUCUUUGCUUCGUGGCAACUUCAUUUGGUCAAACAUUUCAAUACUCCCACGGUUGGACCAAUGGCAAGCGGGCACUCAGCACACACAGUGGUGUCGAUAUUUCCGAAAUGCUCGGUGUUCAACAAGACGGUGAUCGCAGGCUGGAAAGGUGUCUUAUGCAGCUGCAGCAUAUACUCCGCAAUCCCCUGCAAAUUCGUGCCGGCGUACAAGCAUUGACUCCAACAAACAACAAUGCCAACAACAACCGAUUUGGAAAUCAUCAUCAAUCAAAUGAACUUUACGAAGAAUUGAAUGCU